rnacentral:lncRNA from 1 species
UCCUGUGAGGAUGGAUUGAUAUCAAAGUCCCAACCCUCUAAUCACAUGGUUUGUCUUUCUAGCACGGCCGGAUUCCAUCCAGAAGUAAUCUGGGAACCCAUGUGAGUCUCAUUAGCACAAACACAGAUGGAGUCCCAGAGGUCCCUCUCUUCAUGUGAAGCUGGUGGCUCCCAGACUACUGCCUUUACCUCCGCCUUAGGAGAAGUCUGGCUCCAAGCACCAUUUGUUCACACUCUGGACAUCUUGCCAGCGGUCAUGCGGAACGGAGUGCCACUGUGAGACAGGUCUUCGCUCAGCUUAGCCUCACACCCACACUCACACCCACACCCACUGCAUCUUCACUAAUGCCUCCCAAUCAUUCAGGUCAAUAGUGGAAGAAAUGGAGAAUGUUCUCCUUUGGGAAGUUUGACUUUUACAAGUGUGACUCACUUUAUCCAACAGACACACAGCUCAACUGGGAAGGUGGACUGAGUGUGAUAUGUGAUAGAACACAUGCCAUGUCCCAUCCCUUGCAUUCUGUCCACAUCCACUAACCCUGAAUUCUAUGUUGCUGUGCCUCAGUUUCUCCUGCAGGCACUAUGGAACCUUGCAAGGUCUUCAAACAGGGCCCACCACCAUCUGACUGCAUUCUCCAUGGCUCUUAAAUCAAUGUCGAGAAGGAGAGGCUCUGGUGAUCUAGACCUCAGGAGGAGCUGA